UACGUAGGUGGCAAGCGUUGUCCGGAAUUAUUGGGCGUAAAGCGCGCGCAGGCGGUUUCUUAAGUCUGAUGUGAAAGCCCCCGGCUCAACCGGGGAGGGUCAUUGGAGACUGGGGGACUUGAGUGCAGAAGAGGAGAGCGGAAUUCCACGUGUAGCGGUGAAAUGCGUAGAGAUGUGGAGGAACACCAGUGGCGAAGGCGGCUCUCUGGUCUGUAACUGACGCUGAGGCGCGAAAGCGUGGGGAGCAAACAGG
rnacentral:rRNA from 1 species